AGCGAACGCUGGCGGCAGGCCUAACACAUGCAAGUCGAACGAAGUCUUCGGACUUAGUGGCGGACGGGUGAGUAACACGUGGGUACGUGCCUUUAGGUUCGGAAUAACUCAGGGAAACUUGUGCUAAUACCGAAUGUGCCCUUCGGGGGAAAGAUUUAUCGCCUUUAGAGCGGCCCGCGUCUGAUUAGCUAGUUGGUGAGGUAAAGGCUCACCAAGGCGACGAUCAGUAGCUGGUCUGAGAGGAUGAUCAGCCACAUUGGGACUGAGACACGGACCAAACUCCUACGGGAGGCAGCAGUGGGGAAUCUUGCGCAAUGGGCGAAAGCCUGACGCUGCCAUGCCGCGUGAAUGAUGAAGGUCUUAGGAUUGUAAAAUUCUUUCACCGGGGACGAUAAUGACGGUACCCGGAGAAGAAGCCCCGGCUAACUUCGUGCCAGCCGCCGCCGUAAGAC
rnacentral:rRNA from 1 species